CGUGUGUGUGUGUGUGUGUGUGUGUGUGUGUGUAGGAUACAUAUAAUUAUUCACACACACAAACACACAUACU